GACGAACGCUGGCGGCGUGCUUAACACAUGCAAGUCGAACGAAGAGCGAUGGAAGCUUGCUUCUAUCAAUCUUAGUGGCGAACGGGUGAGUAACGCGUAAUCAACCUGCCCUUCAGAGGGGGACAACAGUUGGAAACGACUGCUAAUACCGCAUACGGCCUAAUCUCGGCAUCGAGGAUAGAUGAAAGGUGGCCUCUACAUGUAAGCUAUCACUGAAGGAGGGGAUUGCGUCUGAUUAGCUAGUUGGAGGGGUAACGGCCCACCAAGGCGAUGAUCAGUGGCCGGUCUGAGAGGAUGAACGGCCACAUUGGGACUGAGACACGGCCCAGACUCCUACGGGAGGCAGCAGUGGGGAAUCUUCCGCAAUGGACGAAAGUCUGACGGAGCAACGCCGCGUGAGUGAUGACGGCCUUCGGGUUGUAAAGCUCUGUUAAUCGGGACGAAAGGCCUUCUUGCGAAUAGGGAGAAGGAUUGACGGUACCGGAAUAGAAAGCCACGGCUAACUACGUG
rnacentral:rRNA from 1 species